GUCGUAACAAGGUUUCCGUAGGUGAACCUGCGGAAGGAUCAUUCACACGCCAACACACAUUCACUGUGAAACUACUUCUAUGAUCCCACGUGCUGUCGUUUCCCACAUGUGGAGAUCGCGCUGAUCGAUGUAUCGAUCACCAUGAGUUUCCAGCUCAAGCGCCACACUUCGACUGUUCGUCUUUUGUACAACUUUCAGCAAGGGAUGUCUCGGCUCACAUUUCGAGGAAGAGCGCAGCAAAGUGUGAUAAGCAUUGCGAAUUGCAAAAUUCCGUGAAUCAUGAGAAUCUUGAAUGUGCAUUGCGCUUUCGGGGUCCCCCCUGGAAGCAUGCCUGCUUCAGCGUCUCUCUAUAUUCUGGGUGCCUGGGUUGUUUCAUUGUGAAACAGCUCAACACACGUCUGUCUGUACCUGGCGUGUUUGGCGUGUUCAUAGAUCUGCCAGAAAUGCUGUAGCUCUUGCGCGAGACGUAUUGAAGCACAGUUCAAUCUGAGAUUUAUGUCUUGUAUUCGAUGUAUCCAAAUCACGAACACUCCCUGUUGUACUUCAUUUUCUAUGAGGACUCAGUGGUUUGUCUCUGCUUUGGAAGGCUAUCGAAGUCUGCGAUGAAGAUGCUCUUCGUCACACACAAGACAUGAAGUCAGGUAAGCAAGCCCGCUGAAUUUAAGCAUAUAAGUAAGCGGAGGAAAAGAAACUAACUAGGAUUCCCUCAGUAAUGGCGAAUGACCAGGGAAGAGCUCAAUAUGAAAAUCAAGCCCUUCGGUCUUGAAUUGUAGUCUUUCGACGCACUGCCAUUGGCGGCGCAGACAUAAGCCUCUUGGAAAAGAGCACCAGCGAGGGUGACAGUCCCUUGUGUUGUCUGCAGUCCUCCAUAUUCGGCAUGCAAUUUGAGAGUCACGCUCCUCGGGAUUGGAGCGCAAAGUGGGUGGUAAAUUUCAUCCAAAGCUAAAUAUGUGUGUGAGACCAAUAGCAAACAAGUACCAUGAGGGAAAGAUGAAAAGGACUUUGAAAAGAGAGUUAAAAGUGUCUGAAAUUGCUGAAAAGGAAGCGCAUGGUACCAGUGCAGUUUGGCGAGAUUGUUGUGCAUUUGAGUGACGUGCUUUGACAGCAGCGUAAGCGUUGUUGAAGUUCGAGAGCCCUUGUUGCGCGAUGCUUCUUGCCUUAUGUGUCAGCUUCAGCAUACUCACAAGAAGAACUUCAGGGACAUGUAUGCAGGACUUCUGGACUGCUAAUGUACCUGACAGCACUUGUUUGUGUGUUGACAUCUGACUAAAUGGUGCCAUUCGACCCGUCUUGAAACACGGACCAAGGAGUCUAUCAUGUGUGCGAGUUCAUGGGUGUCAAACCUAUGUGCGCAAUGAAAGUGACUGCUGGGAUCUUUGCACCAGCAUCCGACCAAGCAAUUGAGUGAGGUUUGAGUAUGAGCACAGAUGCUAGGACCCGAAAGAUGGUGAACUAUGCGUGA
rnacentral:rRNA from 1 species